AUUGAACGCUGGCGGCAUGCCUAACACAUGCAAGUCGAGCGGAGCGGCGGACGGGUGAGUAAUGCCUAGGAAUGUGCCUGGUCGUGGGGGAUAACGUCCGGAAAGGGGCGCUAGUACCGCAUACUAUCAGCAGAGCAUAGGGCGGAUUAGCUAGUGGGGGGGGUAAAGGCAUACCAAGGCGACGAUCCGUAACUGGUCUGAGAGGAUGAUCAGUCACACUGGAACUGAGACACGGUCCAGACUCCUACGGGAGGCAGCAGUUGGGAAUAUUGGACAAUGGGCGAAAGCCUGAUCCAGCCAUGCCGCGUGUGUGAAGAAGGUCUUCGGAGUGUAAAGCACGUUAAGUUGGGAGGCGGUACCAACAGAAUAAGCACCGGCUAACUUCGUGCCAGCAGCCGCGGUAAUUC
rnacentral:rRNA from 1 species